rnacentral:lncRNA from 1 species
CUAACAUUCAAGUUCAACACAUGCUCUAACAUUCAAGUUGAACACAAAAUCAAACCACACACCCACCAAAUCAAACCACACACCCAUCAAACCAAACCUCAUACCUACCAAACCAAAUCACACACCCACCAAACCAAGCCAUUUGCUUUGCCUAUAAAUAGGCAUUCUAUUUGCUUGUAAUGUGAGAUGAAAUGAGAGAAGAUGAAGGGAAGGAAGAAAGAGGGUGAGUGUGUGAAGAGAAAGAGAGCAAAGAGAAAUUCUCCUAGAGAGAAAAUUAGGUGAGCAUACAUAUUGUAAACACUAGAGUUGUAACCAUAUUAUGUUAUGAAUGAAAGGUUACUGUUGCUGCUCUCCGGGGACGUAGGCAUAGCCGAACCUCGUUAAAUGCUGUGUCUCGUCUACUUUACGUGCAGUUCAAUAUUCGCUCAUAUCCCCGUUCAUUUUAUAACACGUUAUCAGCACGAGAAGCUCUCAGGUAUAAUUUUUGUGUUGCACUAUUAUCUAUACUACUAACCAUUAUGUUGAUGUAAGGAAGAAAAGUAGUGGAGAAGUUGUGGUCUGCUAGAGAGAUAUACGAGCAAACCAACUGUAAGGAUAAGCUCUAUGCCUCUUACUUUUUCUAUUAUUUUAUUAUUUCUCUAUAUUUUUAGUGGUGGUUUUUAUCCCCACAUUUAUUUUAUUUAUUGUAUGGUGUAGGUUUAUUACCCAUACAACAAUAUCUAUUUAAAAGGGUAGUGCGGGUUUAUCGUCCACACCUUUACUUUUAUUUAAAUGUAUUUACUUUUAUUUAAAUGUAUGGAGCAGAAUUAGUGCCCAUACAAGCACGUUUACUUUAUCGUAAAUUUACUUUUACUUAAAGUAUGAUGUGGAAUUAACCCUCAUACUUUAUGAAUUUACUUUACCACACAUUUAAUUUUAUUUAAAGUAUGAUGUGGAAUUAACCCUCAUACUUUAUGAAUUUACUUUACCGCACAUUUAAUUUUAUUUAAGGUAUGGUGCGGGAUUAACGUCCAUACAGCAAUUUAAUUUAUGAAUUUACUUUACCGCACAUUUAAUUUUAUUUAAAGUAUGGUGCGGUUUUAUCGUCCAUACCAGUAAUUUAUUUACUAGCAAUUUAUUUUAUGGAUUAAUUGUGCUGUAUGAUGAGUUUUUUUACAGUAUGCAGAUCAGGACCAGAAGUUCCUUGAUCCUCAUCAUACAAUUACAUCAGGACUUGAAGAUCCUUGAUGAUGAUAUUGAUAUGAGAACUGGCAGUCUCUCCAGUACUAUACAUGUAAACAAGAGAUCGGACUUGAAGAUCCUUGAUCCUUGACAUGUAAAUAAGGACCUAGAGUUCCUUGAUGAUGUAACAGUACCGGAUUGGUUAAAAGUGCCGUACACAUGAAUAAUAACUGUACUGGCAAAUGUACUGCACACAUAAAUAGAUAUGUAUUCAUGACUUAAUGAAUAGUACUAUUCACAUGAAUAGUGACGUAUGCAUAAAUAUUAACCAUUUUGGGUAAACCGUCACUAUAUACAAAAGGGAACCUGCAGUUCCUUAAACUCAUGGAUGAGCAAUUAAAUGGGAUGCCAGAAGUUCUUCAAAAUAUGGACAAUUAUGUAAGGGCCUGAAGUCCCGAAAUAUGUAUAGAAAAUUGUACAAAUGUCCAUACCAUGCAGAAUAUGUGAUUUUGGCCCGAAGUUCAAAAUCUAAGGGGAUUGAAUAUCCAUACCAUGAGAAUAUGUGAUUUUGGCCUGAAGUUCAAAAUCUAACAGUGUUGAGAACCUAAAGUUCCAACAGUUAAAUGGACAAUAAUUGAGGUAUUAUUGCAAAUUGUGGUACACCACAUAUUUCUUUGGCAUAAGAGAAUGAUGAACUUAAUAAAGUUCGAUUAUAUUAUAAUCGACACCUCAAGGAAGAAAUAUAUUUUGUGAAUCCGGUUGUUAAGAAUACACCGUGAAAUGGAUAAUAUCAAUAUAAACUUCAAAUGAUGAAUUAAGGCUCCCCACAUAUUUUGUUAUAUCUGGGCCGGAAGCCCAUGGAUCCAAAUAUAUGAGAGAUCCUAAAACUUGAAGUUGUGGGUAUAUAGUAGUUAAUGUUCCUCACUACUAUAUUGAGAUAUUAUCGUGGCUUUUACUCAAUUCAUAUUUCAUGUCCAUUUGAAAAUGGCGAAUAAAUUAUGAGUUUGGGUUUAACCCAGACCAAAAGUUCUGGGCUCACAUGCAUGGAAAUAUGAGAGAUUUGAUAUGGUUAUUUGAACCUAUAAGGCACAAGGUUCCAGACCGUCAUUUUGAAAAGACGUAAACACCACAGGCCCUGUAAAAUCUAUAAAAUUACAUUAUGUUCUAGAAGCCUCUCAAGGAAGAGGACGGUGCCUCUUAAGCCUAGCCAUGAGCCUCUCGUGGUCUCCCAAAAUUCUUUCAUUGGAGACCUGCAGCAUGUCUAGCCUUCUCAGUGUAUCAACGGAGUACGAACUCACCAGUUUCAACAAGGAAUUAUUCUCUCCUUUAAGUUUCUCAACCUCCUGUUGAGACUCAUGAAGCAUUCUUUGAAGAGACGAAUUUUUCAGUUGUUAGCCUCUCAACCUCGUUUGCUCUAGCACGCAAACGAUCAGCCAUGUUAGAAACAGAAACAGCACUCUGAAUGCUAAAAGCCAUUGAGUCAUCAAUAGCCUCUUCCUCAGACCUCCCUGCCAACAACAUUUCAUCCAUUGGAAUAAUGAAAUUCCUAGCUACUGUGACAGCAGUAGCAUCAUUCAUCAUCACAGAAUCAUUAACUGUGAGAUGACGAUUUUGGGUUACAAAGGAUGGACGCCACACUUGGGCGUCACUGGUUGUUGUGGGAGCAUCAUUUAAAUUGAAAUUAUUUGGGCAGGAAGAAGAGGAAGCCAUUUUAAGAAGGUUUCAAAGGAAGUUUUACAAAAACUAAAGUUUCAGAAAAUGAAGGAAGUUGAGUUGAAACGCAGUUGCUCCAAUCAAGUUUUGCAAAGGCAAUAUCUAUAGACGAAAAUGUGGCAACUUUUCAGGAUUCCAAUAUCUUCUCGAAUCCCCACAUUAUCUUUUUUCUUUCGCAAGAGUCCAAAACUUCACGUGGCCUCUGAUAAUGCCUGUCGGCACUUUCGGCGCUUUCAAGUGUUAUUUUCGUCAAAGCCGAUCUUGCUUUAUGGAUUUCACGGAGCUACUUUUUCAAAAGUAUCCCGAGAAUCUCGCAAUUUUCCCAUGGUUAAUUUGAAAAUCACAGGUUCUACCUAUUCAUUGUAUUUGUGUAUAAAUGUGUUACUAACGAAAUUUUCUUUGUAGAAAACAUCCAGUUUUCCCAUACAAAAUGAUGCUAUAUCUACUUGUUUUUCUUAUCAUUAAGCACUUAAUGUGCCUGAGAAGCAAGACUAUCUCUGAUCAUCUAUUCAGGAAGCAAGACUAUCCCUGAUCAUGUUUCUGCAAGAUCAGGGAAUUGUGAAGGCGGCCUUGUGCUCUAAUCUCCUGAGAUCCUUCUAGACUAGGAGAAUUGAGAGCUUGUUUUCUGCUCCUACCAGCUUCCUUCCCUGAUUGCUUACCUUAUCUUGCAUCAACAUCACAAUUUUUUUUGCAUUUUUUCUCUUUUGCAGCUCUCUGUUCAUAAGAGAUUUUAUUUCUUUAGAAUGAACAUCUAAAGAAAGAAUCCAUGAAGUGAUCCUAACUCUGAGAGUUAUUGACAGAGAAAAGAAUUGUGAUUUUGCUUUGCAGGAUAUAACUAGAUCAUCAAGCACUACAUUUACUGGGCCGAUAUGAGCUUGAAUGAUACUUGAGAAAAGUUUCUCCCACCUAAGGAUGUAAGCAAUACUUGUGUUAUUUUAUGCUUAUAUACUUAUUUGAUAUUUUACCUUGAAAAGUAACCAAAUGGGGAGAUAAGUCUGUUCCAAAAGAAUGGCUUGUAUGUAUCCAUGAAUUAUUAAGGCAAAUUUUUCAGAUUGCAAGUUGGAUACAUUGAUAAUACACUGCACAGAUUAAAGUCCCAUAAGAACAUAAUAUGGGUAUAGCAGUGAUCAAUAUGAUGCACGCAUGUUGCGUAGCAAAUGAUGUGGAUUGAAGUCCCGAAAGGACAAUCCCUUGACAUGUCAAUAUUGAUAUUGUUCACGCCUAAUGCGUUGCAAAUUGUAUGGGUUAAAGUCCCAGAAAUCAAUUGACAUGUAUAUAUUAAUCUGUGGCAUGCCUGCAUCAUGCCAGAUAUAUGGUUCUAAAUGUUCCAACUCCCUAAAUGGAGAUUAUCCACGCCCUACUAUAAAAUAACGCUCCGUUGGAGGUUAUAAUCCACAUUCUCACAUAAUAAAAACCCCCUGCUGUGGCUUGGGUACCCAAAAGCAAAGAAAUGCUUAUAAUUGAUGUAUGCGCAUGCACAUGAGAAUGGUGGGAUCAUGAAUUGAUGAAUGACAAAUUUUGAUUUUGAAGUAGCUACUCAAAUCAUCAAUGGGCUGUGUUGAUUGGAACCACGUUCAAUUAUUAAGAUGUCGACAAUAUCAUUGGCCAAAAUGGACUGAGGCAAUUCCAUUAUAGAUGAGAAUGAACGUGAAAGAACAAACCCACAGUACGAACCCCAAAAGAUGUUAAUAUUAAAAGUUAUACUUGGGUGUUCGGAAUAAAAGGGAAUAUACUUACUUUGUAUGACACAAUGUUUCUGGCAGAAACAAGGAAUGUUGGGUUUUCUCCAUAUUUUCAAAAUUCAAUUGUGCCCCCCCUUAUUGCACAUGGAGACGACCAACAUGUUAUCUCUAAAAGUUAUUAAAGGCAUGGAGCAUAUUGCCAAAAGCGAUUUCCUAAAGAUGUAUAAAUAGCUCGGUUAAAGCUAUAUAAUGUGUCAUAAAGUUUAAUCCCUUUAAACAAAAUCCUUGAGAGGAUUGAAAUUGCAUGAAGCAAGUCCCUGAAUGACAUGUGCCUGAAGCACAAAAUCUGUACUCAAUACUAAUAUGCAUAAAUUGCCUCAGUGAGUACAUUAAUAUGUUUGCAACACAUUAAAACUUCUCAAGAGUUCCAGAAAUACUUGUCUCGACUUAAAGAUCGAGCAUUAUGCCAACGAGAUUAUUGCUUAUACUAAGAAAGUAUUGAAGCAUUUUUAUGAGGACUAUCCGUUGGACACUUUAAGGAUUUUCCGGAAGUAUAUUGGACCGGACAUCGUAUUUGAGCUCAACUCCAUCACCAUCAUUUUGGGAUGAUGUGAGGUAUAUUUGAUGCUAUUUCCGCAUAACACUAUGUAUGGGCAUAUUCUUUCAAGUGAACUUACAAAUAGCCCAAGUUUUGCUGGAAACGCGAACUCUGAAAAAUUUUAUGAUUCACAUAGAGAUAGCUCACUGGAAAUAUAUUUACUUACUCAACUACGAGAAUUAUUAAUGGCUACAUCCUCCACUCACUCCGAAAGAUUCUCACUCAAAAAGAUAGUCAUGAAGACAUCAGGGGGAGAUAUUAAUCAGGGGGAGCAUCCAGAAGUAUGCUAUACAGAUUGUUAUACUCUUCUUUCUUCCUUCCAUCAGUUUUCUACCUCACUAGGUUUUCUCCAAGCAAGGUUUUAAUGAGGCAACCAAUCUAGGGACAUGUGGUCUCCAAGGGGGAGUGUUGUAAAAUGGGUGAAGCCCACAUUGCAAACUAACAUUCAAGUUCAACACAUGCUCUAACAUUCAACACCAAAUCAAACCACACACCCAUCAAACCAAACCACAUACCUACCAAACCAAAUCACACCCCCACCAAACCAAGCCAUUUGCUUUGCCUAUAAAUAGGCAUUCUAUUUGCUUGUAAUGUGAGAUGAAAUGAGAGAAGAUGAAGGGAAGGAAGAAAGAGGGUGAGUGUGUGAAGAGAAAGAGAGCAAAGAGAAAUUCUUCUAGAGAGAAAAUUAGGUGAGCAUACAUAUUGUAAACACUUGAGUUGUAACCAUAUUAUGUUAUGAAUGAAAGGUUACUGUUGCUGCUCUCCGAGGACGUAGGCAUAGCCGAACCUCGUUAAAUGCUGUGUCUCAUCUACUUUACGUGCAGUUCAAUAUUCGCUCAUAUCCCCGUUCAUUUUAUAACAUCAU